rnacentral:rRNA from 1 species
GACGAACGCUGGCGGCGUGCUUAACACAUGCAAGUCGAACGAUGAAGCUCCUUCGGGGGUGGAUUAGUGGCGAACGGGUGAGUAACACGUGGGCAAUCUGCCCUGCACUCUGGGGCAAGCCCUGGAAACGGGGUCUAAUACCGGAUGUUCACUUUCGGGCGCAUGCCUGUUGGUGGAAAGCUCUGGCGGUGCAGGAUGGGCCCGCGGCCUAUCAGCUUGUUGGUGGGGUGAUGGCCUACCAAGGCGACGACGGGUAGCCGGCCUGAGAGGGCGACCGGCCACACUGGGACUGAGACACGGCCCAGACUCCUACGGGAGGCAGCAGUGGGGAAUAUUGCACAAUGGGCGCAAGCCUGAUGCAGCGACGCCGCAUGAGGGAUGACGGCCUUCGGGUUGUAAACCUCUUUCAGCAGGGAAGAAGCGAGAGUGACGGUACCUGCAGAAGAAGCGCCGGCUAACUACGUGCCAGCAGCCGCAGUAAAAC